rnacentral:rRNA from 1 species
AGAGUUUGAUCCUGGCUCAGAGCGAACGCUAGCGGCGGGCUUAACACAUGCAAGUCGAGCGGAGGGGCAACCCUUAGCGGCGAACGGGUGAGUAACGCGUAGGUAACGUGCCUUCAGGUGGGGAACAACCGUGGGAAACCAUGGCUAAUACCGCAUAAUGUCGAAAGAUGAAAGCCUUCGGGCGCCUGGAGAGCGGCCUGCGUCCCAUUACCUAGUUGGUAGGGUAACGGCCUACCAAGGGAACGAUGGGUAGCUGGUCUAAGAGGAUGAUCAGCCACACUGGAACUGAGACACGGUCCAGACUCCUACGGGAGGCAGCAGUGGGGAAUAUUGCGCAAUGGGGGAAACCCUGACGCAGCCACGCCGCGUGAGUGAAGAAGGCCUUCGGGUCGUAAAGCUCUGUCGGGAGAGACGAAGGGGUAAAACUCUGACGGUAUCUCGCAAGAAAGCACCGGCUAACUCUGUGCCAGCAGCCGCGGUAAUACAGAGGGUGCAAGCGUUGCUCGGAUUUACUGGGCGUAAAGCGUACGCAGACGGACCGUCAAGUCGGGAGUGAAAGCCCUGGGCUCAACCCAGGAACGGCUUUCGAUACUAGCGGUCUUGAGUUUGGGAGAGGGAAGCGGAAUUCCUGGUGUAGAGGUGAAAUUCGUAGAUAUCAGGAGGAACACCGGCGGCGAAGGCGGCUUCCUGGCCCAAUACUGACGUUCAGGUACGAAAGCGUGGGUAGCAAACAGGAUUAGAUACCCUGUAGUCCACGCCCUAAACGAUGGAUACUAGGCGUAGGAGGUAUCGACCCCUCCUGUGCCGCAGCAAACGCAUUAAGUAUCCCGCCUGGGGAGUACGGCCGCAAGGUUGAAACUCAAAUGAAUUGACGGGGACCCGCACAAGCGGUGGAGCAUGUGGAUUAAUUCGAUACUAACCGAAGAACCUUACCCACUCUUGACAUUGAAGGAAAGCUCUAGAGAUAGAGCCCUCUCUCACAAGGAGACCUGAAAACAGAUGUUGCAUGGCUGUCGUCAGCUCGUGCCGUGAGGUGUACGGUUAAGUCCGCCAACGAGCGCAACCCUCGUUCUGUGUUACCAGCGAGUAAUGUCGGGCACUCACAGGAGACCGCCGGUGUAAGCCGGAGGAAGGUGGGGAUGAUGUCAAGUCAGCAUGGCUCUUACGAGUGGGGCUUCACACAUGCUACAAUGGGCGCAACAAAGGGCAGCGAUACCGCGAGGUGGAGCAAAUCCCAAAAAUACGUCCUCAGUUCAGAUUGCAGUCUGCAACUCGACUGCAUGAAGGCGGAAUCGCUAGUAAACGCAGGUCAGCUAUACUGCGUUGAAUACGUUCCCGGGUCUUGUACACACCGCCCGUCAAGUCACUUGAAUUGCCUUCACCCGAAGUCCGUGGCCUAACCCGCAAGGGAAGGAGCGGCCGAAGGUGAGGGGGGUAAGAGGGACUAAGUCGAAACAAGGUA